AACGCAUAUUGCGCCCUCUGGUAUUCCGGGGGGCAUGCCUGUUCGAGCGUCAUUACAACACUCAAGCACAGCUUGGUAUUGGGCGCCGCCCUCUACGGGCGCGCCUUAAACUCCUCGGCGUCGCCGUUCGUCUUUAAGCGCAGCGAGAUUUUUUUCCAGCGUCCCUAAAGCCGGGCCUCGUCCGCCGGAUAACCCCUUAUUUUUUUUAACGUUGACCUCGGAUCAGGUAGGGAUACCCGCUGAACUUAA
rnacentral:misc_RNA from 1 species